AAUUAUAUAGUUUAAAUAAAACUUUAUAAUUUCAUUAUAAAAAUAAUUAAUUAAUAAUUUAUAAUUA
rnacentral:tRNA from 1 species